rnacentral:rRNA from 1 species
GGGCCCGCACAAGCGGUGGAGUAUGUGGUUUAAUUCGAUGCAACGCGAAGAACCUUACCAGGGUUUGACAUCCUGCGAAUCUCUUGGAAACUUGAGAGUGCCUUCGGGAGCGCAGUGACAGGUGGUGCAUGGCUGUCGUCAGCUCGUGUCGUGAGAUGUUGGGUUAAGUCCCGCAACGAGCGCAACCCACGUCUUUAGUUGCCAGCAUUUAGUUGGGCACUCUAGAGAAACUGCCUGCGAUGAGCAGGAGGAAGGCGGGGAUGACGUCAAGUCCUCAUGGCCCUUAUGGACUGGGCUACACACGUGCUACAAUGGCGGUGACAAUGGGCAGCGAAGGGGCGACCUGGAG